UACGUAGGGUGCGAGCGUUAAUCGGAAUUACUGGGCGUAAAGCGUGCGCAGGCGGUUUUUCAAGUCUGAUGUGAAAUCCCCGGGCUUAACCUGGGAACUGCGUUGGAAACUGAAAGACUAGAGUGCGGCAGAGGGGGGUAGAAUUCCACGUGUAGCAGUGAAAUGCGUAGAUAUGUGGAGGAAUACCGAUGGCGAAGGCAGCCCCCUGGGUCGACACUGACGCUCAUGCACGAAAGCGUGGGUAGCAAACAGG
rnacentral:rRNA from 2 species